AGGGAGGUUUCCUCUCUGAGUCAUACGGAGACAGAGGAGCGAGACCAGGAGCCUUGGACAGUUUACUCACAUUGUGACUGUGACAGAAGGCUAUCCCUCGCAGGAUCUGAAUCAGACCUGUGGAGUCUCCGGAUGAAUUUUAAGAUCCAACUUGCCUUCACAUCUACUCACAAGAAGGACAACAGCAACAGCAUCACAGGAAACACCAUCGCUGCCAAAUUCUCCUCAAGAAAAGAGAGUCCUCAAUUUCGCUACCACCUUUUAUAGUCGCAAGAAAUCUCAUGCACUCUACAGCCAACUAAGUUCUUUUUAAAGACCAAUCCAUUCUAAUGUAGCAGCUGAUUAAUUUGUAGAAACCUUCAGAAACAUCAGUGUGAUCAUGGCCACUUAUGACGCUGAUAAAUGUUUGCAUGGACUGCGGGGACAACUCCCUGUUCUUCCCCAAAGUCAUGUCAAUGUGACCUUUCCCGUCCAGCAGAGGGGACAGACAGAGCUUGGAUUUAACUCCUUAUCUGCUGUACUGAGAGCAUUCCCACAGGCUGCAGUGCUCAGGUUUGAAUGUGCUGCCUUCUCCCACCUCACUCAACAACAACUAGACUCAUAGCUGUCUGAUCUCAGCACAUUGUCUUUCCCUCAUUGUUUACAAAGUGAAACUCCUGUAACCCCUGAUCAAACCAUCAGUCCCUCAGCUUACAGGCUACUGGAGGCCAUCUUUCUCCCUGGGAACAGGGCGAGGAAUAAACGGAACAUCUCCAACAUUGUCCAGCUUUGCAAGAACUAGCAGAAAAACCUGUAACAGAUUCCAUGAAAACUCUGACUCACACUUUGACGCCAACAUUUAACUGCUUAUGUAAAUGUUUAGAAAGAAAAUCCCAAUAUAAACAAAACCUGAAAGAACUGUGGACACUGUAAGUCAGAAACAAAUUGCUGGAGUUAAUAUUUCAGAACAGUUCUGAGGAAGCUCAAUGGACCUGAAACAGCAGCUCUGCUUUCUCUCCACAGAUGCUGCCAGACCUGCUGAGCUUUUCCAGCAACUUCUGUUUUUGUUCCCACAUGUAAACUGUAUCCAGUGACGUGGUCUCAGGCGCUGACGUGUCACCAACUUUGAAAUAAAAACAUGGAUUCAUCGAC